CCUACGGGAGGCAGCAGUGAGGAAUAUUGGUCAAUGGGCUUACGCCUGAACCAGCCAAGUCGCGUGAGGGAAGACUGCUCUAUGGGUUGUAAACCUCUGUUGUCAGGGAGCAACACCGGCUACGUGUAGCCGGACUGAGAGUACCUGAAGAAAAAGCAUCGGCUAACUCCGUGCCACCAGCCGCGGAAAUACGGGGGAUGCGAGCGUUAUCCGGAUUGAUUGGGUUAAAAGGGUGCGUAGGCGGAAUGCCAAGUCAGUGGUAAAAUCGCGGGGCUCAACCUCGCUCCGCAGUUGAAACUGGCGUUCUUGAGUGGGCGAGAGGUAUGCGGAAUGCGUGGUGUAGCGGUGAAAUGCAUAGAUAUCACGAAGAACUCCGAUUGCGAAGGCAGCAUACCGGAGCCCAACUGACGCUGAAGCACGAGAGCGUGGGUAGCGAACAGGAUUAGAUACCCCUGUAGUC
rnacentral:rRNA from 1 species